GGCAUGAACCACCAUGCUUAGCCUUAAAAUUAUUUUUAUAAAACAAAACAAUGCAUUUUGUAUAUAACACAAACCGUGGAAAGUCAAACUUAAGAAAUCUGUUGGGCAAAGAAUAAGCAAACUUGAACCAAAGACUUUCAAUGUCCCUUGAUGUUUCCAUAGCAUAUGAGUGCAUGAAGAAAGAAGGUCAGACUUUGGUUUUGAUGUAAAUUUAAGCACGACUGCAAUUAACUGGAUUUUCGGAGUGAAGGCAGACAUGGCAAAGUGAACUGUGGGCAGAGAAGCAGUGACAGAUUCAGUCUUUGGGAG